rnacentral:rRNA from 1 species
UCUAAUACCGGAUAUCACUUUCGCAGGCAUCUGUGAGAGUUGAAAGCUCCGGCGGUGAAGGAUGAGCCCGCGGCCUAUCAGCUUGUUGGUGAGGUAAUGGCUCACCAAGGCGACGACGGG